AUUGAACGCUGGCGGCAUGCUUUACACAUGCAAGUCGAACGGCAGCGCGGGCUUCGGCCUGGCGGCGAGUGGCGAACGGGUGAGUAAUGCAUCGGAACGUGCCCAGUAGUGGGGGAUAGCCCGGCGAAAGCCGGAUUAAUACCGCAUACGACCUGAGGGUGAAAGCGGGGGACCGAAAGGCCUCGCGCUAUUGGAGCGGCCGAUGUCGGAUUAGCUAGUUGGUGGGGUAUAGGCUUACCAAGGCGACGAUCCGUAGCUGGUCUGAGAGGACGACCAGCCACACUGGGACUGAGACACGGCCCAGACUCCUACGGGAGGCAGCAGUGGGGAAUUUUGGACAAUGGGGGCAACCCUGAUCCAGCCAUGCCGCGUGCGGGAAGAAGGCCUUCGGGUUGUAAACCGCUUUUGUUCGGGAAGAAAUCCUCUGGGCUAAUACCCCGGGGGGAUGACGGUACCGGAAGAAUAAGCACCGGCUAACUACGUG
rnacentral:rRNA from 1 species